rnacentral:tRNA from 1 species
GCGAAGUUAGUACAGUGGUAGUACGACGGCUUCCCAAGCCGUAAACGCGAGUUCGAGCCUCGUACUUCGCUCCA